rnacentral:lncRNA from 10 species
UGUAGUACUCUCCCCCUUUUCCUAUGGAUGUGGCUUCCUGUGAGCCAAACUGCAGUGAUUGUUGUCUCUCUUCUGGGUCUAGCCACCCAGCAAGUCUACCUGGCUCUGGGCUGGUACUGGGAGUUGUCUGCAUAGAGUCCUGUGAUAUGAACCAUCUAUGGGCCUCUCAGCCAUGGAUACCAGCACCGUUCCAGUGAAGGUGGUGGGGGAAGGGAGGUGAAGUGGACUCCAGGAAAGUUCUUAGCUUUUGUAGUUUAAUGCUCUAUUCUUGUGCUGGUUUGGCCUCCUGCCAGGAGGUGGUGCUUUCCAGAGAGCAUCAGCUGUGGUAGGAUGGAGAGGAACCAGUGGUGGGUGGGGACCUAGAACUCCCAAGAUUAUAUGCCCUUUGUCUUUAGCUACCUGGGUGGGUAGGGAAGAACCAUGAGGUGGCAGCAGGGCUAGGCAUGUCUGAGCUCAGACUCUCCUUGGGUGGGUUUUGCUGUGGCUGCUGUGGGGAAUAGGGGUGAACUUCCCAUGUCAAUGGAAUUGUGUACCUAGGAGGAUUAGGGCUGCCUCUGCUGAGUCAUGCAGGUUGUCCAGGGAAGUGGGGGAAAGUCAGCAGUCAAAGGCGUCAUGCAGCUCCUAUGCAAAUCGAAGGGCUGAUCUCAUUCCAACUGUGCCCCAAAUAACAACCCUGAGUCUGUUUCCAGGCAGUGGGUGAGCUGGGCAUGAGAACUUGCCCCAGGCUACCUCUUCCAGCUGUGAAAGAAAAGGGCUUCAGUUCUUCCCCAGGCUGUGGAGUCUGCACACUGGAUUCAUGACCUCCCCCAAGUUCUGGCCAGGAAGCUUCUUGCCCAAUUCAAAUUGUUGCAAAGUUCAGCUGGAGAUUUCCUUCUUCCUGUGGCAUUUUCCUGUUGCUCCUCUGGCCACCCUCCCAAUGGAUCCGUGUGGUCCCUGGCAGGAAUGUCUUGCUUGGGGACCGAGUGAGCUCUUAGAGCCUUUCUGCUGCUUCCUCUACCCCUGUAUUUUACUCAGCUCUCUAAAUUGACUCAGUGCCAGGUCUGCUGCAGUUUGCUGGAGGUCCACUCCAGACUCUAUGUACCUGGAUAUCACCAGCGGAAGCUGCAGAAUAGCAAAGAUUGCUUCCUGGUCCUUCCUCUGGAAGCUUCAUCCCAGAGGGGCACUGGCCUGAUGUCAGCUGGAGCUCUCCUGUAUGAGAGAUGCCCUGCCCAGUGAAGAGGAAUCUAGAGAGGCAGUCUGGCCACAGCCACUUUGCCAAACUGUGAAGUGGAUAAAGUCCUACAACAAUGAUUUUCAAGCCUGUUUUAAACCACAGAACCAUUUCCCCAAAAUUUUCUGUAAAUGCUGCCCACCCCCACUGCCUCUGCCUGAUGACGUCCUCUGGGUGCUUGUGUGAGAAUCAUGCAGUGACCACAUCAUCACCCACAGCUGAUGACUCAGAGUGGACCACCUAUUCAGCCCAGAGCAGGAACCCAAGCCUAUGAAGUGAAUUGUAGGAUGUGGUAUCAGCCAGUAGAGGUACUGGAGCACCAGAAACCUGAGUUCCCAGUGAUAGAACCGCCAAUGCCUCAUGGCCAUGCUGCUAAAUCCAUCAGGAUAGUUUCUUUAGCAGACGUGGUAUGACAUCUACUUGUGGACACACUCUGCUUUCUGGUUUUUCUGUUUCUGAUUAGAAACUCAAAAACAAUAUGAGAAACAUACCUGAAAACAGCAGAAGAUCUGGAUCAUUCCGGCCAGCAAUUCAAAGUCUGCCAAAGGGAAAUCAAGUAUUGUAGAAACCUACGGGGCCUCUCAGAGCAUUUUACCAGAACUGUGGCAGGGUGACUGAUUGUGGUAUUCUCUUUGUAUUCUCUAUGCUGAAUCAUUUGCCAGAACUUCCAAUAUAUGAUUGCAAAACUAGACUUUUUUAAUGUUAUCUUGUCUCAGAUUUCUAAGCCUGAAAGAUUGAGGCUGUUGCUGAACGAUGCUUAAUUAACCAAGGCAUUGAGCUCCAACCAUGAGGCUUUGAGGAGUUUGAUAUCUAGCCCCUCUUGGCAUCAUAUGCUAAGACUGGCUGUGAGGCUAUGAGAAUCUUAAGUACCUGCACGCUGUUCAUAAGUGGUACUCUAAAACUCCUGAGGAAAUAAGGGAGACUGGAAUUAGUGGGAUUAGCUUGUGGGAUUAGCUUGUGUCCUUUGGCUUAGCCUCUUUCUCUCCAGAAAUUUCACUUUUGGCUCAGUCCUCACAGGGGAAGAAAGUCUUGUCCAAAGAUGGCGUCUACCCUGUGCUCCACUGUGUAUCCCAGAGGAGAGCAUCUUUACUGUGGAAUGGACUUCCAGCUGACUCAUGUUGGGGAAAGGAAGCAACACAGGAGCUUAAGAGGAAAAUUGAAAGAAACCACAGACCCUUUGAAAGAAGUGGCAAACUGCAGCUUACACCAUGAGCCAGGCAGAAAACUCUGAGUCCUCAGAGUGUGAAAGGAAGAGAAACUGCCUCUGGGAUAUGCACUCCCACUGGGGAACCUGGCAAUCCAGGCCACGGGGAAGACCUUAACCCUACCCAGUGCUGGAGCUGAUUUAAUGAGCUGAGGGGAGUAUAUGAGAAGGAGCAGCUUCAGGAUGUGCUUUGCUUGCACUCCUAGACUCUACUGGGGACAGAGGGAAGCCAUUCCUGAUCCUACCUCACAGAGGACCAUGCAGAAGUCAGCCAACUAGCUCAGGCGGUGGCCAUGGGCUGAGAGGAGUGAGAAGCUCCCAACUGAGAUUCACAAUAUAAUCUCUAGCAGGGAUGGACCUCCUUGACCAGAACUGAGGGGCAAGUGGGAAGUGCGCUGUGCCCACAGGUGUAGGAGCUGGGUGCCCCUGCUUCGCUAGCAGAUCAGGAGGGGCAUGGCCUGAGCAGUUUUUGUCUUGGCAGCCAGAGAAGGCUUAUGGUCUGGGACAGUUUUGAGUGCUGAAUGCAGCCUGCUUGCAACCUAGAUGGCCGCUGCCAGUAGAACACUGUGGGUCUGAGACCUGUCUUGCCAAGUGCAUAGGGGCUGAGUGGGGCUUACUGCCACCUGUACUCCCCACUUCCUGUGUGGACUCUUCUGUGCGGCAGGGGCAACUGCACUCCUCCCUGGAACAUUAUCCCAGCAUCCAGAGAACUGCCCUCUGAUCCCCACUGGGCCACUGAUUGCACCUGCACGUGGAUAGCCAGAGCGCGAACUUGCCUGACUCAGCCCCGACCUGGUUUGCCUUUUUACCCACCCUGGUAGCUUAACACAAAGGACAGAAACUUUCGGGAGUGUUAUGGACCUGCCCAUUGCUUGAGACACCAGAGUACCUCCCCUGGUCACAUAAGCCAAGCAUGAAUUCCACCACUACUACUGCAGUCAGUGCUCUUUCGCACCAACUGCACCUCCUGGCUAUAGGCCAAUCAACAUAGUCCAUUACAACAUCUGUAGGCAGAAUAACACAGCACUGGGAAGGAGAAAACUUUUGCAUGACUACAGCUACCACCAUUGCCUGCAUCACCCUGGCUAACCAGGAGGUCUUGAGUCUGUUCACAUGACCAGAUCAUUACUACUACAACUGAAAUUAGAGAAAGCCAGCACACUAAGGCUAUUUGUAACCAAAGAAUCUCACAGAGUUUACUUUACUCCUCUGCCAGCCCCAUCAGAGCUGGUGCUGGUACCCACUGCUGGGAGACUUGAGGAUAAGUCACAUCGCUGGACCCUUUGCAGACAUUCCCUAGCACAGGCCUGGAAUGUAGCAGCCCCAUUGGGUGGCCAGAUCCAGAGCCGCAGCAGCAAUCAUAGUAGUCUGGCACUCAGGGACUCCUACUCCUAGGGUAAGCAGGAGUGCACCACAUGAAGGGAGCACCCUGUGGGACAAAGGAAUCCAGAUGGCAGGCUUUGAGUCUCAGAACUUUACAAUUGUGGGAAAUUUCUUUCAGCAGAGAGACAGGUGCAGUGCUGGGCUCAGUGGGGAAGUCUGUGGCUCUACCUCACCAGUCAGGCAGCCCUGGUGCUUGUGAAGGGUCUUGGAGAAUAGGACUUCUCCCCCUCAUGCACCACUGCUGACACAGCUGGGGUUUCUCACAAAGGAACUCGGCAUGAGUGCACCUGUAGACAGCCUUUCUGGGACCCUUCAGGUGACUGCAUUCCCACAGGACAAGUGCCCUCCAGGCUCAGGCUUGUAUGAGAGCCUCCGGUAAUCACCAUUUUACUCUCUACCUCCAUGAGAUCAACUUUUUUAGCUCCCACAGUUGGUGCUCCAUCUAUACCAGGUUGCUACUUCAUGUUUGGACUUGGAUGAAACAGCAUACUAUAAGGCAUGAAACCUGGCUUCCUGAGUGACAGCUGAGAGGAGAGAUGUAGCUGAACCAAUCAGCUACAACGUCAUUCCAGUGUCCAUACUUACAUAGUGGAAAAUCCUCUAAAGCCCACUUCUGAGAGAACACUAAUUUCUAGAUUUCACAUUUCCCGAAUCCCGUAUAAGAUCAGUUCUUUCUUGGUUCAGAGGCACUACUUUACAAAUAUUGUUCUCCCUUGCCUAGCGAGCAAUAAACUUAGCUUUUUGUUUCAGACACUGAAUGCUAUUCUUUCCUGUGACACUCCUUGAGAUUGUUCUAGAGAAGUAAGUCCCACAUGCUGAAUGUCCGAGCUUGCUAAGCAACUUGCCUUGUCUCUUAGCAGCUUGUUGUGAAGUAGUGGGCAGCUAUGGUACUAUAACACACCAAACUGCAUGGCAUCUUUACUUGACUCAUUCUUUUUCCUCACUAUCAUUGCCCUGGAUUUGUACCUCCCAAACAAAUUGUUAUCAUUUUUAUCCUUGCUUCAGGCUCUGCUUUUAUAGGAGUCCGGAUAGGACAAAGUGGGAAAGUACAAUUUUUGAUACUUCUUCCUUUGUCUCAGGCUGGAAGUUAAAAGGUAAGACAGAAUCUUCUCAUAAAUUAAAACAAGAUAAUUUCCUUGGACAUCAUGCCAUUAAUUUUGUUUUUCUCAGCUGAGUGAGGUGGUGUGUCCUAUAGUACCAGCUAUUCAAGAAGCUGAGACGGGAGGAUUGCUUGAGCCUGGGUGUUUGAGGCUGUAGUGUACUAUGAUCAUGCCUGUGAAUAACCACUGCACAACAUAGCAAGACCCUAUUUCUAAAAGAAAAACAAAAAGUCUUUUAUCUCCUGGAACUCUUUAAAUAUUUCUCCCCUCUGUUUAACUAAGGUAUGUGAUAAGAGGGUCUUUUCUUUUUCCCUUUUACAAUAUGUUUCUGGGAGACUGACCAGGAAUUUCACCUAAAUACUUCCCAUUGGUAGAGUAAAGCCAGCAUUGCAGCCUUAUAAAGAACAUUCUGAGAUUCUCAGCCCAAGUGAGGGAAGGAAGACUGUCUUGUGCUUUGAUAUGGUUUGGCUCUGUGUCCAUUGUAAGUUUCCUGAGGCCUCCCCAGCCAUGCAGAACUGUGAGUCAAUUAAACUUCUUUUCUUUAUAAAUUACCCAGUCUCGGGUAUUUCUUCAUGGUAAUGUGAGAACGAACUCAUACAUGCCUUCUACAGGCAAAGCACAUCAUUGGGAAAAUGAGAUGUCUAUAUUGGCAAAUAAUUUAGUGACAAAGGAAGAGCUGUGGCUCAGUCCUCCAGAAGAAACUGCUGGUCUCAAAAGAGACUGUCUUUUCUUUCACACUUCCAUAUACUUCAUUAUUCUUGUAUUGCAGUUAUGUGAUUAUCCAACCAGACAGUGAUGGCAACAACAGCCAAGGAAUAAUUGAAUGUCCACUAUGGCGUGCUCAAUGACAGUCUUGAGGACAAUGGAGAGCUUUUAUGUUGUCAGGGAAUGAUGCAGAUGUUAGGAAAUGAUGCAAAAUACACAAGAUGUGGAUGUUAAGGCAUGGGAUGAGUAUGGAGUCAUAAGGAGAGAGGUAGUGAGAAACCGAUAGUUUGUAAGUUACUUAGUAGAUACUCAGAAGACUGUUGAAGGAUGAGUGAUAGAAUAAAAGAGUGACUUUCCAGUAGCUUCUUGAGAUCUCCAGUGAAUCAGGCUUGGAGGAAACUUAGAAUGAAUUAAUUAUCUGCAAGUGAAUUUUUGCAUUUUUCUAAGUUUAUGCAGCAAAUCCAUGCAACUUUUUAUGUCUCUCCACAGAUUAUUUGAUUUCUGACAUUUGAUCUCAUCCCCUUUGUCUACGUUUUAAUGGUUGUUUUUAAAUUGAGUGAUGUUCAGGCCCCUUCCUGCAUAUCUCUACCUUCCAUCAUUAAGGCUCCUUUCUAGGAACAUGACAUUCUAAAAUGAAGACUAAUUGUUUAUCUUCAGUGUUGCCUUUUUAUAUAAAGAAUAGAUUUUCAUCUUUAGGAAUUCCACUAACUGUCUUUAUUUUAUGUAAUUUCCAUGCCAGUUUUUUCUUUAUUAUAAAGAUUUCUUAGCCGGGAACGGUGGCUCACACCUAUAAUCUCAGCACUUUUGGAGGCUGAGGCAGGUGGAUCGUGGUCAGGAGUUCAAGACCAACCUGGCCAAGAUGGUGAAACCCUGUCUACUAAAAAUGCAAAAAAAAUUAGCUGGGCAUGAUGGAAGGUGCCUGUAAUCUCAGCUACUGAGGAGGCUGAGGCAGAGAGCUGCUUGAACCCGGGAGCCGGAGGUUGUAGUGAGUGGAGAUCGUGCCACUGCACUGCAGUCCGGGUGACGGAGUGAGACUCCAUUUCAAAAAAAAAAAAAGUUUCUUUAUUAUAAAACGAUUGCACACUACAUGCCUGAUGCUUCACCUCAACGUUUGCCUCUGGCAUCUUGCUUCCAACCUGAACUCUGACCAGAUGAAAGGGAGGAGGGCACAAAUGAUACACUUGGGGAAACCUGCAACAGGCAGACACCAGGAGCUUGGUGGGUGGAAUCCAUGUGUGAAAACCCUCUGUGCUAUGGCUUUCAGAUGGAUGGUAGACCUUCCAACGUGGCCUGAGUUAGUCAUGAUAAAAAACCUUGGCAACAUUUUCAGUGCCCUAAAUUUGAUAAAAACAAGAUAAUACCUUGAAGAAAUGUCAUAGAAAGAUGAAAAAUAUUGAGGGAAUGAGUUAGGGCUGUGAACGUACUGUGAUUACUCAAUAACCACAAACUUGCAAUUAACUGCUGUAACCACAAAUCACCCUUCUAGGGUUCGCUGUGUAGAAAGAGCCGUUGAUUUUUUAUAGUCACUGUAGCCACAGCUGGAACCUCAUAAAGAGUUCAUGGUGGGCCUUCGAUCAAAGCUGGAGAUGCUAUUUCUUGCAAAUUAUGAAUCUUUCUGUUGCUGUGAGCUGAUAUAGGGGAUAGCCAAAUUAUAGCAACAUUGGAGAAUCAGUCCCUAGCAAAGGGUUUUGCAUAAUACAGAUGAAGACAGAAUGUCUCAAGUCUGGGAAAUGCUUUCAUUUAAAAAAGAUGUAUUAAGUACUCGCCCUGUAAGUGUUACUGUCAAAGCACUGGGAAUCAAAUGGUGAACACUAACAGAUUUAGUUUCUAAUCUUGAGGAGUGAGACAUAAUUAACCAAAGAGAACUUACUUAUAUGAUUAUAAAUGGUGGCAAGUAAUCUGAAGGAAAAAAAUUAUCAGAGAGUAUGAUAGGCUAAUUGGAUAUUAUAUAGGGGUCAGGAAAGACUGCCAGUAAUGCAAACAUACAGCUGAAGAUGAAAAGUGUUCUCUUGCCUGUCAAAGAAAUCAUCUUGAGGAUCACAUAUGUAGAGUUUCUGGAGUGUUCUGAGAAAUAAUGAUAAAUUAUGCUCAAAAUUAAUUUCUUCUCUUUUCCAUCAAUAUGUGGAAUUCAAAGGUAAUUGGCAGAAAUCGAUAAAUUGAAGUCUUUGAAAUUGUAAAUCUACUGUUCAACCAAAGGUAUCAUAAAGUGCAAAAACAAGUCUGGAUUGGGAAAUAAUAUUUAUAAUGAUUUACCUGAUGAAAAUUGGUAUCAUAGAGUUGCUUCACAGAGUUGCCAGAAUGAGAUUUUCAUUUUAAAAUCCGGUUAAUGAGACUUAUUUUCCAAAAGCUGUUUGAUAUUUUCAAAUUUCAUAUCAGAUAAAACCUAAGUUUCUUAAAUGCCAAAAGUGAGAGUGUGGGUGGGGUUUGGGAGGGCCUCAACCAGCUCAGUCUUGUCCAAAUCACUAACCCUUCCAUUUGGUAACAGAAUAAUACAGAAUUACUUGGGGUUAUCAGGAAAUGCCCAGUUUUGACUCUCCAAGCUGCAUUUUCAUGGGCGGUUUGGCACACUCAGAGUGCCUUGAGUGUGUCUCCCUUUGGUCUGACCUCUGUUUGAACACUACCACCUCUAGGAGCCUCCCUUCAUGCCCAUGAUGUUUAGGAGGGGUUUCCACUAUACUUCCAUGUCUUUCUAACUUCAUUAUACAACUUAUGAUGACUUAGGACUGCAUUGUCCUAACUUACUGGCAGAUAGUACAUCUCCUUUAGACUAUAAACAUUUUAAAGGCAGGAGGUAUGCCAUUUAACCUUUGGAUUCUGAGCCCAUAAAUGUUCCGGAUGGUAGAAGCUGUUUGUUUCUGGGUCUAUGCCUGUAAGGCUGAGGCAUUAUGGGGUUCCUGGAAAGAGAAGGGCUUAGGACCAUUUCACUACAAACCCCUCUCAAAGGGGACAGGACUCUCAGAUGCAGCACUAAAGGGCAUGCCCUAAUCCUGCAAAGAGGUCAGGAAGACAUAUUUUCAGCUAGGGCAGCCAGUGUACAGACAGUGGGCAGAAUCUAGAGAGGGGAAACCCAAGCGACUUAACCUCCAGACUGAGAGAUGGACAGCCUGUCUGUCUGUGGAGAGAUCAGAAACCCAGGGUGGGGUACUAACUAAUGAAGAAAAAAAAAACUUUAUUUUAUAUCUUGACUUUUUAAAUUAUUCCCCAAAUGAGUAAAAGUCCAGAAAGUCUUUAUAAGAAUAAAAGACAAAAUAGUAAAUGAUAACAUAGCUAACAUUUAUCAGGUGUUAGUAGGGGCCUGGCUUUUUUCAAAGUGCUUUAUGUGUAUUAACCCUUUUAAUUCUUAAAACAAGCUCUCGAGUGGGUACCAUUGUGAGGAAACCAGGGCAGAGGUGUGUAAAUAUCUGGCACAGUGUCUCAGAGCUAGAGGCAGAGCUGGCUUUCAAAUCCAGUGGUGUGGCUGCGGAGUCCAUGCUUGUAACUGCUAUGCUCGAAUGCCACUUAUGAGUGAAUCCUUAAUCUUGUACCUGUUGUUUUAAUCUGAGGUCUUUUUGAUUUGCAUUUGAACCAUUGUUACCAGAGACUGUGGUUGAAGAGGAAAACAUCUCCCUGUAUUGUUAAAAGUUGGCAUAUUGGAUACCCGGGGCACACCAGUACUUUCAUAUAAGAGACAGUUAUUAAUGACCCAGGCUGGGAGCUUUAAAUAGAAGUCUAGAUGCUAUUUUCCACCAACUUCAAGCCUGUAGAGGAUGACAGCCGAAUGGAGGAAUAUAGGUAUCACUGUGUUUAUAUAAGAAGCACAUUACAUAGAAAGUUUUUCUACAGGAAAAGAGAAAGUGUGGCAGCAAAUAUAGCACAAAAUAGUCACGCUGAAGGGUAAAAGGGAAUGCAGUUAAAGAGACUGUUCUGGGAAGUUAGCCUCACUUCCUUACACCCCCUUCUCUAGUUUCCUGACAUUCUAUUCGUUGAAGUCACCCAAGGGGGGCUGGCCUCACUUUGGCAGCUUCUGUGGAUAGGAAGUUGAUAGGGAACCCAGGCCAACUUUGUUGAGAAUUCGGGGAGGUCUGCUCUGUGGUGGCUCUGAUUGGGUCUAGUCGCAUCUGUGGUGGCUGCUAGGGUGAAACAGACCUUCUAUUCCUUUGUGGUCUCCUGCUGCAGACUGGAGAUCCUCAUUCUAAUGUUAUGCUUUCUGCAGAGGGCACAGUUUAUGAGAGGCAGUUACUACAGACGUAAUGUUGAGGUGGGGUGGGGCAGAUAGUUGUCAUACACAAGUGGAGCUCCAGUCCAAGAGGUUUCCAUGGGCAGGAUGGCCACGGGGCCUCUGCUGGCCUGCAUGGUGCCAUUAUACAAAUUAGGAAAAGGCACCUUUUUUCUGAGAUUGUUUACUUCUAUCUACCAGAAAAUUAUCACAGUAUACUGACUGAGUUAGAAAAGGGCACUUUGCUAAAAUCUGUUGUUGAAUUUGUCAUAAUAAAUAUAUAAAUCAGCUGAUGUCUCCAGUGUGAAUGAUCACCCUGUCAGGUGUCUAAGGACUGUUGUCUUUUAGUUCUGCUCUCAAGGAAAAGAGAACCCAUCCUUCCCUUGGGUCCCUCCAACUGGAGGAUAAGACCUAAGCUUUAAUAAUCGCUUGACAGUUUCUCAGAUCACUAGCCCAGUCUUCCCCCUCAUUAUUAAGUUCCUCUUCUUUGCCUCCUGCUAGCCUAGACUUUUCCUUAUCACUGGAAGCUGAACCAGUCUUCAUAUUUCUUGGAGGAACCCAUGAGAAGAAAAUACUCUUUUUCUUACAGGGUCCACUGAAUGUCCUGACUUUCCACUGAUGACUUGUGGUCCCUAAAUCCUGGUCUCCCCUGACCUCCCAGGUCAAAUCUAGGUGACCAUUGGCCACCCACAGGUCCACCUGCUCUUGUUUCUACCAAGGCCUCUGUGCCUUCUGAUUGGAUUAGUGUUCACUCCCUUAGCGUCUAAGCCUUUGAGGUAAUCUUGAACCUGAUCCAGAGAAGGUCUAAUGUCCUAGGAGGGAGAGAUCCCAAACUGAGCUCUUCAACUGACCCUGAACUGCCUCCUGCCCAUUUUUCUCAAUUAUAACUCUUGAACUUCAUGGCAUUUGUGGCAGGCAGAAUCCUAAAAUGACCCCCAGUGAUCCUCACCCUUCUAUAAUCCCUACCCUCUGAGUGUGGUUGGAACCUGUAAGUAGGCUGGAAUCUGUGGCUAGGAUGAUUAUGUUAGAUUGUACAGCAAAAUGGGGGUUGUCUGGGUGGGUCCAAUCUAAUCAUAUGAGCCCUUCAAAAUCAGAGCAUGUUCACAGCUUGUUGCAGCAGAGAAAGUCAUACAUAGAGGUUCCAAAUUUGAGAAGGAUUUGAGGUACUCCUGCUGGCUUGAAGAUCCUGGGGUUCCUGUGCUGAGGACUGAGAGCAGCCUCUAGGAGCUGAGAGCUGCUCUCUACCGAGGGCAGCAAGAAAAUGGGCCUGCAGUCCUACAACUGCAAGGGAUGAAAUCCUGUCAACAACCCGAAUGAGUUUGGAAGCUCAUUCUUCCGCAGAGCCUUCAGAUGCGAGCUCAGCCUGGCUGACACCUUGAUUUUGGCUCUCUGGGAUCUGGGCAGAGAGCUCAGUUGAGCCUGCCCAGACUUUUGGCCUACAGAACUAUGAGAUAUUAGGUGUUAUAGUAGGCUGAUGAAUUUGUGGUAGUUUGUUACACAACAAUAGAAAAUGAAUAAGCAUUAAUCAGAGAUAGUCCACCUAAAAGAAUCUUGAUAUGUUCUCAGGGUUAAGCAAGAAAAGAGAAGGAGAAAAAAAGAAGACAACAACAAUUUCACCCGGAAUGUGACCUAAAGAAAUAAAAAAUGACCUUUCUUUUAUGGUUUUUUUUUCUAAGUUAACUUACUCUGGCUCAUCUGAAUCUUUUUAUUUCCCCCUUUUCCAUUUCCCCUAACCCUAACUUUCAUCUCACACCUAAAUUGAGACUGUGUGUGUGUGACUGUGUGUGGAGUACGUGGGAGUGCAUGAAUAAGAGGCAUGGGAUAAUAACCAGCAGAUAUUUAUUGAGCAUCUAUUCUGCAUUUAGUAAUAUUUUAAGUGAUUUAUAUAAAUUCACUUCACCUAUGAGAGUCCUGGGAGGCUAUGCUAAUAUUGUGACUGUUUUAUAGUUGAAACCAAGGGAUGGAUAGCCAGGUUAAGCCAAGUUUGUGUAUUUAGGCAAUGGUGGAACCAGGAUUGAGUUCUAGGCAGUAUGGCUGUAGAGUGUGCAGACUUAACUACUACACAGAAAAUCUUUAUCAAAGUUAAACUUCCUUUUGGUAUAACAAUGUAUCCCGUGUGUGAUGGUGAAUUCCAAGCCCCCUUGAAACUUCCCUGCACCAUCUGCAUAGCGACUGUUCCCUGGUCCCCUUAGAGGCCUCCUGAUAUACAGAUAAGGUCAGAUCACCUGCACCUCCUAAGGGUGGUGAUGGUGGGGAGUGGUCUUGUGAUUUUCUUGCAUCAGGAGUAUUCUUGAGAAGAUUUCUGAGUUAAAUUGAGAGGGAAAAGUCUGAGAGAGAAAGUUUUAUAGCACACCUGGGCCCCAGCUAGGCUAGGUCAGGAAGGGGAAAUAUCAGAUCAAGGACUGAAAGAGAAAGUGCCAAGGAGGUAGAGUCUGAGGAUCAUGGAGACUCGCCCCUGCAUGGCCCUGCUUCCUGAGAUUCCAGGGGAGAGUGCUCCUGCCACAGUCUAAUUUACACAGUCAUCAACUCUGCCCAGGCAGGGAGCCCAAAGAGACCUCUGCCCCACCCCUAGUCCGAUUAAAAAAACAUCUGGUGGUUUCAGAAUGAGUUUCCUGUCACUGGCUGGGGAAGAUUCCGUAAGACCAUAGGUGUUUUGGACACUACAAUGAAGAAGAAACAUAGGCUUGUGGCUUUUCCCACUAACCCUUCAGCUGCACUGACAUGAAGACAUGGUGAGAUAGGGUGGGCCAAUUUUUUUCCUGUGCACUAUCACAGGUCUGGUUGCAUGGGUCCCCUCCGUGGUGACUAAUCAACCACAUCCAAAUGUCUCUUAUAGCUGCAAGCUAUAGCCAGGGCCCCUUAUAUCUGGGCUGCCAAUCUGAAGUACAUAGUUUCAUUACAGAGUCCAAACCUGUCUGCCCUGGGAGAUGAGUUUUAUUAAGAUCCCUCCAAUCAUCCUCAAGAUUUUCAUGGUUCAUGUUUGUGGAGAAGGCUGUAAGAUUCAGUGGUUUUACUUUUAAAAUGGGGAUAUUAUUUGUGGCUGACACAAAUGCCCUGUUGCCUGCCCAAUACCCAUCUCCUCUUACUUAUUAAAGAACUCAAAUUUUUAUCCAGUGGUAAUGUACCCAGCUAAAAAUAUUCAAGUCUCCCAGACUCCUUUGCAUGUAAGAAUUUACAAGUGAUACAGUUCUAGCUAAUGAAAGUCAACAAGCAGGGUCUCAGGAGAGAUUUUUUUUAAAGGGUAUCUUCUCUUCAGUCUUUUGUUCCUUUCUUUUUUUUUUUCUUUUUUUUUAUUAUUAUACUUUAAGUUUUAGGGUACAUGUGCACAAUGUGCAGGUUAGUUACAUAUGUAUACAUGUGACAUGCUGGUGCGCUGCACCCACUAACUCAUCAUCUAGCAUUAGGUACAUCUCCCAGUGCUAUCCCUC